rnacentral:lncRNA from 1 species
CCGAUGAGAACAAUGACAUGAAGGAAGUAAAUAUUGUCUUGACUAUGCAAAAUCCUAAAAACCAAACACUACUUCCUCCACUUCAAUACCACACAGCCAUAUAUCAAGCACCUUCAUUCCCCACAACGACAUACAAUUACCCCAUACUAUCUUAUAAUCCUACCAACUAUCUCGCACAACCUGCGUACUUUCAAAUUCCUCCAACUACUUCCCA